UACGUAAGUGGCAAGCGUUAUCCGGAUUUAUUGGGCGUAAAGAGAACGCAGGCGGUCUUUUAAGUCUGAUGUGAAAGCCUUCGGCUUAACCGGAGUAGUGCAUUGGAAACUGGGAGACUUGAGUGCAGAAGAGGAGAGUGGAACUCCAUGUGUAGCGGUGAAAUGCGUAGAUAUAUGGAAGAACACCAGUGGCGAAAGCGGCUCUCUGGUCUGUAACUGACGCUGAGGUUCGAAAGCGUGGGUAGCAAACAGG
rnacentral:rRNA from 1 species